rnacentral:tRNA from 1 species
GCACCCAUGGCCGAGUGGUUGAAGGCGCCCGGCUCAUAACCGGGAAUUCCAAGUGAACGCGUCGGUUCAAAUCCGACUGGGUGCA